rnacentral:lncRNA from 1 species
UUUGUCGUCUCAAUUAUUGAUUUAAUAAUAUAACAUAUUAUGCAGAUGAUACUGUGACAAUAAUUGAAUCAAUAAUAUGAGAGAUAUGAUGCAGCGAUUACUGUAGCAAUAAUUGAGUAUAACUGAGUGACUUCUCACGUAAGCAUCAAUAAUCAAUACCGUGUGCUACUAUGCAACCACGCGUAUUACUGUACUUUUACUACCGGGUAGUUCAACAGUUUUAAC